AACGAACGCUGGCGGCAUGCCUAACACAUGCAAGUCGAACGAGACCUUCGGGUCUAGGGGCGCACGGGUGCGUAACGCGUGGGAACCUGCCCUUAGGUUCGGAAUAACUCCCCGAAAGGGGUGCUAAUACCGGAUAAUGUCUUCGGACCAAAGAUUUAUCGCCUUUGGAUGGGCCCGCGUUGGAUUAGCUAGUUGGUAGGGUAAAAGCCUACCAAGGCGACGAUCCAUAGCUGGUCUGAGAGGAUGCUCAGCCACACUGGGACUGAGACACGGCCCAGACUCCUCCGGGAGGCAGCAGUGGGGAAUAUUGGAAAAUGGGCGAAAGCCUGAUCCAGCAAUGCCGCGUGAGUGAUGAAGGCCUUAGGGUUGUAAAGCUCUUUUACCCGGGAUGAUAAUGACAGUACCGGGAGAAUAAGCCCCGGCUAACUCCGUG
rnacentral:rRNA from 1 species